rnacentral:tRNA from 1 species
GGGCCUAUAGCUCAGUUGGUUAGAGCAAGCGACUCAUAAUCGCUGGGUCAUUGGUUCAAGUCCAAUUAGGCCCACCA